CAACUGUGUGAAUUAAUGUGAACUGCAUACUGCUUUGAACAUCGACUUCUUGAACGCAUAUUGCGGCCAUGGGUUAGCCUGUGGCCACGCCUGUCCGAGGGUCGGCU
rnacentral:rRNA from 1 species